AUGUCACUGGUGCAUCUUGGGCAGCAGCUGCUGGAGGCGGUGCGGAGUGGACAGGAUGAUGAUGUCAAAGCUCUGAUGGCCAAUGGUGCUCCGUUCACCACGGACUGGUUGGGCUCAUCGCCGCUGCAUUUCGCAGCCCAGUACGGUCAUCACUCCACCGCCGAGGUGCUGCUGCGUGCCGGGGUCAGCAGGGACGCCCGAACAAAGGUGGACAAGACCCCUCUUCACAUCGCCGCCUCAGAGGGUCACUCCACCAUAGUGGACCUGUUGGCGCAGAACGGCGCCAACAUCAACGCCAAAGACAUGCUGAAGAUGACUGCGCUGCACUGGGCGGCUCAGCACGGCCACAGGGAGGUGGCGGAGCUCCUGCUGAGGCACGGCGCAGACGUCCACUGCCUCAGCAAGUUUGACAAGACGCCCUUCGACAUCGCCAUGGAUACCAGCAACACGGAGCUGAUGAUACUGCUACAGGACGGCAUGCAGAACCAGGUAAACAUGGACCCAGAGUCCCACUACAUCAUCCGUUCUGGUGGGCUGGUCAACCUCUCAGACCUGGUCAACGCCACCAAAACCAGUGCAGGCAAGUCAGAGGACGUCAUGGCUGCCGAGUCGGUGGAAGCAACCUUUCAGCAUGUGGUGGGCGACGGCGGGCAAAGGGUCAUUACCAUAGUGACGGACCAACACGGCAACCUGCAGCCAGCGUCCCUGGGCCAGCAGUACAUCUUCACCCUGCAGGGGCAGCAGAUGGUGGCUUUGCCAGCCGGCGCAAUCACAGAGGAGGUGGUGGUCGAGGAUCCUCAGCAGGCCACGCCCAAACGCAAGAGGUACACAGACCCCUCAGCCAAUCACGUCGGCCUAAAAGACAAGAAGGUGAAAGAGAGUCGCGAGCAGCUGCAGCGGCAGCUGCAGGAAGCCAAUCUCAAAGCCGAGGGGUACCAGCAGCAGCUCCUGCAGAAGGAGCAGGAGGCCGAGCAGUAUCGCCUUAAACUGGAGCAGGCCAUAGCAACCAGUCACAGCAGCAUCAACAACGCCAUCACUGCGACGACCGUUACCUUAAACAACGGCGCUACAUUGAAGCAGCAGGAGGAGGAGGAGGUGAUGGUAGAGGAGCAGCUAGAGACGACACAGGAAGCUGCAACAAAAGAAGUGGAAGAAGGGGAGAGGGAAAACAUGGAGGAGGGGGAAGAGGUCAUCUUCCUUCCAGAAGAUGCGAUUUUUGUGAAUGAGCGCGAGCUGGAAGUGGAGGUCGAUGGUACAGAGGAAACACACAAGUCUUCCCCCCGUCAGCGAGGCCAAGGUAGAAGGAGAGGGAGAGGCAGAGGUGGACGCAGACACUAGCUGACAUGUUUUGUGAUCAUCUAUUUAACUGAUUUUAUAACCUUUUGUAAACAAAAAGACUUUUGUAAAUAUGUCCAUAUGUUUUCAUGCAGCACAAACAUCAAGAGGACUUUAGAUUUACAUGACUUUAUAGACCAUUUCACAGUUGUCAACAUUAACAUUCUAAAUGGCCCCAAGUUGAUUUCCUGUUGUAAUGUAUGUGAAUGACAUUAACUGACAGGAAGUUAACAAGAGGCCAGGCUGUUGCCUAGCAAUGGGAUUCCAUUAAAAAAGGUCUAUAGGACUUUACAUCAGGCACACACUGAGCCUGGAGAGGACAUGCAUCAUGGACUUUGGAUGAUGUUCAGUGCUUCACUACUUUAUCUCUUUGUGUUUCAUAGCUCUGGGAUCACCUGUAAUUUCGUGACCAUCCUCCCAACUGAAUGGUAGCUGAGCUAGGAUUUGUGUCGAGGGCGCUCAGACUGUGAUGUGUCACUCGGUGAAUGGGCCUCAGUGGAGGCGCACAGUACAGUCAAAGAUAAUCAAGAAGCAAUUACAGUAAGAGCACUCAGUGAUCUCUUAUCCAGGGUGACCUGCAGUGAGCAGAUAGGAGCUUCACCAAAAUGCACCACAGUUGAUGGAACACACCCUAUCUUUUCUGGGAAUCAAACUUGUGACCUUUAUAUUUUUAGAGCAGCGUCUUCAGCUACUCAGCCACCGUCCACCCAGUUAUUUUACUGUGUAAUAUUACUGAUUCAAUACGAGUAACAACAAGACGUAAAAUUACGUUUUAAUGUUAAUUCUUUGUCUAUAUGACGGUUUUCACACACGUCUGUUGGGAGAUGUUGACGACCAAAAUCAUGAGUGGAGGGAUAAGGAUGGUUCAACUUUAAACGCAGCAGCAUUAGGGCCAUUUCCCACGAGGACAAAUUACGGAGCCAGUUUGGGGAUUUUGAAUUUGAUUGUUUGUUUGUUUUUCAUUAAUUCACAGCCCAUAUUUUCAUUAUUGAAACUGUCAGGGGACGUUUGUUUACAUGUUUGCACUUCAGGGCUUUAUUCAUCAGAACUUCUUAUCUUUUGAGACAACAAGUUUGUAAAACGUAAUUAUGUGAUUCUUUUUGUGUCUGUUUUUUGUCACUGAGGCAAUAAAGUGUGUACUCAUUAA